CGCAUUGGAGUUGUUUGUUGUGUUUGUUAUGCGUGUUCGCGAAGUCGUCGUCCCAUGCGUACUCUCUGUUGGUUUCAAGUGGACGAAUGUGCUAUUCAACAGGAACGUACAGUGACAGCUCUUCACCUACGUCUGCGAUGUUUCUGCGCUGAAUUCGGCGAAAUAACGGUGACCGAGUCGGGUGGGAGUGGUUGACCCUCUAUAGGGCCCCCCUCGACGAUGGACCCCCCCGCUAUGUGGCAUCAAAUUGGGGACGCUCGGUUUGACGUGACCUGUUCCUGCCCUCUUGGGCGUACUGUUUUUGACGCUCGUCCGCGCUGCCUUGUCGAGCCUUCGCUCAGACCGCAGUGCAAUCCGCAGGAACUUUCGCUUUUGAGGGGCUCUUGAGCAGCGGACGUUUUAGGCAGAGGGGGCAACGCAAUACGUGAGAGGAACCCGAUAUCUUUCCUGCUUUCCUGCCGCGGCGUUGUCGCUUGUUCAUGUUCUCCGGCUGCCAUUAGAGUAAUCUGACGUCGCGUACUUGCGCAACAACCAGUUGAAUGCCCGCACUUUAGUAAGCUUGAAGUAGCUACGCGAGACUUGCGACGCUGCAUCUACUCAAUCGCGAGUCGCAGUGCUGCCUACACGGUAAGGAUGGAUGGAGAGCAAUUGUGUGCCUUUCAAGAUAUGGAUGGAAGCGAGCAUUAUUCAUACUUUUAUACAAGAAAGAAAAUGGAUGAUGUCCUGAUACUCGAAAGUGUAAAAAAAGAAAAAUCCAGAACAUCUUUCUCUUAUUACAUGUUGACUGUGUGGGAAAGUGUGCAAACUUUUGCCCUGUAUUUAUUGAUCUACGUCAGGUGCGAGAACUGAAGCACCAAAGCUUAAGUCAUUUCAGCUGUUGCCACUUCUUUGAACAGUGUGUCUGACAUGUGGUUCUACUUGAUUCCGGCAUUUUCAGGAGCACUUUUCACAUGUGACUGAUGUUUUGUGUAAUGCACCAGUGAGUCUUACACAUAAGUGUGACCGUGAUGUAAGGAAGUUUAGACACUGUUGUUUAGAUUAAAAAAUAGCCGAGAUAUAUCCCAACAGGCACAUCACAGAAUAUCAAUAAGUGGUACAAAAAAAAAAAAAAAAAGGAAGGGAAUCGCUGUUUUCUUUUUUUCUGUGUGGUGUAGUUUUUAUGCAGUUAAUAUAUCUAGGGAGAAGGAACUCGCCAUGCCAUGGCCAAAGGUGGAAGACUUAUCUGUGCUUGGCAUUCAUGCAUAGUAUUCAAGUAAUGAAGCUGAUGUUGUGUAUUCUUUUAAUUAACUGGGGCACCUCACAUUUACAGUGUGUGGACCAUUUGUGGCAGCUCUUAACUGAAGUGUUAUAACACCUAUUGAAAGGUGUAUGUGCACCGUAUCGCCAGAAGUACUGCCAUAUAGUUCUAAAGGCAGUAAAUUCAGCGCACAUUGGCUGGAGCAUUUCGGAGGAUUAUUAAUUAAACCGCGGCCUAACUCAGCCAAGAGUGAUCAGUUAUCUAGAUUUGUUGUGAUGUACUUGCGGACAAAGCUUUAAACAAGUAUUGCAUAUAUUUACCUACCGAAAUUCUAAAAAUAUAUAUGUACUUUUGAAUGCAAAAACUCAUUUUCCUCUACUGUUAUUUUCACAUACAGUAUUUGAUCCUUUUUUCUAGUGCUAAUACUUGUCAAAGAAACGCAACACAAGGCCAUUAAAACAAAGUUUUGGGAUUCUGUUACGAAAGUUUACACUUUGUCCAUGUUGUGCUCAUAGAUAUAUGAGACAUGCACCUCACAAAUUGAGCAUCUGUCAUGCCAGUAGGUGCUAUUUCCCCUUAAUAGCCUAAAAACAGUGGGUGUGACAUUGAUGCUUGGCUGUGCUUCUUCAGCUCUAUUUUUCCAAUUUCUCAUGAUGUUCAUGCCUUUUACAGCAGCAGUUUCUUGUUACAUUAUUUUCUUCUUUUUGUUCACCUGUACUUUGCAUUGUGCUUCUUGUAAGAUGUGAUGACUGGCCUGUUUCUUUUUGCAGUAAUCGUAGUUUCAGUACUCUCACUUUGCUUCAGUGCACAAAAUGUAGGAGUCUGGCAAUGCCUUUGUUUGUCUGCAUUAUAAACCUGUCAAUACAUUCUAGUUUGUUGCAUAUUGUAGGCUGUUACAUUGCAUUUACACUCACCUAGCACAAAAUCCAUAGAUUUUCACAUAAUACAUUUGCACUUGAUGCAGUGUUAGUCUGGGAUGUUUCCGCUUCUGCAUGUAACAUAUAAAGGUGUCAAUUUAAUGUUUCACUGAGUAAGUGGGGACUUCACUAAACAAACAUGUCGUAGCUUAUAAACUAGCCUCAUUAACAUGAUUGCCAGCAUCCUGACUGCACCGUUUUUUAUUGCCACCACUGGUGCAGCACACAUAGAUUUACUUAAUGUUUUUCUAACAACUGUUGCACCCAAGUGCAGACAAGCCUGAAGCAUGUAUUCCUGGGUCGCAUUAGUGGCAAUAACGUUUGUGGUAGCAUCAGUCCCAAGAUUUUUGCUAAGCUGGGAUGGUUGAGUAUAACAAAGUUGACCUUUGUCAAGUUAAAAACUACACUGUCUCCAUUUAUGUUGGCGAUUUCCUGGCUCCUAUAUUUAUCCAGCUCUCCUUGCUUUCUUCUUUUUUUUCUUCAUCUUCCUUUUUUUUUCUUCUUUGGAGUCCUGUAGCACAUGUACCAUUGGUGUUCUAUUGUGCAUUUUGUACGCAUAUAUUUUCCUCCGGCAUUAAUGUGAAUAUACGAGAAGAUUGCAACAUGCUUACAGUAUUUGCCAAACUAGGCAUCAACUAGGGUUUCCCUUUUUUCAUCUUUUUUUAACUUGCAACAUUGAACUUAAGACAGAACAUAAACAAAGGCGGCACAUACAGAAAGCUUUUAUCCCGUCAUGAGCGUGCUGUUGUAAGUUUGAAAAUGACCUGCCAGCUCAUCCAAAUUCAUACACUGUUAAAUGCCAACUUGCAAUACAUGUUUUAAGGAAAUUUUGCACUUUGGCUUAUCUGGUACACGAAUAAUAAUCGGCAUCUAUACUGUAUGCAUUUCCUUUCUUCAAUGCUGUGUUGCCUGAAUACUUUCAGGUCGCAAAUGGUGUGUGCAUACCGGCAUAACAUAACAUUCUCGAGAGGGAAGCAGUGAGCACAGCAAUGCGUUAAAUAGAGGAAGCAUGCACGAGAUUGAUAAUGCUUACUGUUUGGGUUCAAGAUAAGCCGCGAAGUGUGUAAAGAAAUUUUAGAGUGCACUUGUAUUGUUACCAAUGUUGCUUACUCUUUUGCCACGGAACUAGCUGGAAUGAAAGUGCUUGUAGCUCACUAGUGACGUAGUAUGAGCUGCUGCAUGAUUGCAGCAUUCUUGUGGUUUCUCAGACCAGGCUGCUCCACGCUUUGCCUUUCCUGUCAAAUGCAUGUGUGUUUUCAAAAUAAGUAAUAAUUCUUAGAAUCCUAGACAAAAUAGUUCAGGGCAAAGAAACGAAAUUUCUGCUAGCAGAACCCAGCUUUAGCCUCAAUUAAGCAUUCAUAAUGUAUAAAUAAGCCCUGCAUAUUUAGCUGGAGAGCCACAACAUGCUGCCAGUUACAGAACGCUUUGUUCUUUUUACUUCAAGAACAGGGAAACCUUCAGUACCGUCUGCUAUCAGUCCCUCUUGCAAUACUUUCUGGUUUCUCUAACACAGUUGUGGGCAUGGUUUUUAAGACAGUUUGAGAGUGCUGUUAAAGGUUAGCAAAAACGUCUUGCUGUCAUGAUUAGACAGUGCUUUUGUUUCAGUGGUUUAGAAGCAUUUUGGGGAAAGAGAAAGCUUGUAUAGUUGGCACCACAUUUGUUCUGGAUGUGUCUGUUUGGUGCAUUUUCUCACCAAGAAGGUUUAUUGUACAUUUGUUUAUCAUGUACAGGUUUCAUGAAAAAUCAUUAACAGAACACAAGCACAAUGCUUGCACAUUCUUAAACAGUUUCAUAAAAAGAUAGUAACAGUAACAUAGAAGUGUGCACAAACUGUCAGCAAGGCCCGUUUGUAGUAGGCCAUGCAAAAAAUUUUAUAGUAGGUUGAAUGUUGGCCAUAAGGGUGUCAUUAUAAGAUGGUGUUGCAAAUAUCGAAGUCCACACACUUGUAUGCUGUCUGCACAGUUACCUGCACUUAAUUUAUCUGCUUUUCUGUCUGGGUUCCAAGCACUCGGACUCACUGUUGUAUGCAAUUUCCUGAAUCACCAUCUUUUCACGCUUAAUAUGGAUAUUUCAAUGCUUUUAACUUAAAGGAUACAUUAUAUUCACCUAACUUAAUCUGUCAACUCCCUGUUAUUGUACCUUGUUCAGAAGUGCAAAGGAUUAUUAAUGCAAUGAUUUGCACAUUUGUGUUGAUAUAAAGGUAACAGUUUCAUUAUUUUAUCCAAGUGGUCAUAAGAAACAUACUGUUGGUUUGUGUUCAGUCUUUGGCUGAUAAACAGUACCAGGGGACUCCCGAGUUCUUAACGAGCACAGUGCUGCUUAGCUUUGGUAGUUUGAUGAGACCUGCCACAUUCAGUGUGAAAUGGUUUGUAGCUCACUGAUACAACACACACAUUGAUUCAGUGCACACAUUGUGUUUACCUGUCCUUGUCCUUCAUUUUUUGGUAUUGUCUAUCAGCUAUAUUAUGCUUAUAAAAGCUGAAAGCACUACUAAAAAGAAUGCUUUCAAGUUCAUGUUGUGAAUACUAAUUGGAUGGUAUUCAGUAAUGAUGAUAGUGCAUGUUUAGUGCCUUCUUUUGUGUUGCUCGUAAUUGUUCAUGAGAGGCUCAUAUACCUGCGAUAUAUACAUUUAUAUUUGUUUGUACUGUUAUUGAAGCUAAAUAUCGCAAUAGCGUACAGAUUAUAGAAACACAUAGAGGACUUGAGGUGUUUUCAAAGAUCUAAAAGGGUUUCUACUAUCCUGUGUGCUUAAAUUAGGUGUAAACAUAAGUGGCAUUGGUUGCAUUCUUGUUGAAUUUAAAAGUUUUUUCCUGUUGUAUUGCAGUUUUAUUUACUCUCUAAACGCUUUGGGAUUUGAUCCUUGUGGGGAGUAUUUGUUGUAUAUGCCACAUUCGAGGGGGUUCUUCUGGAGCUGUAAUUUGUGUUAAUGUAAUCUGAAUGUGCAAGAAAACUACUCAUUCGAGAUUUCUUUGUAGUAGCUCUGGUAGCUGUGUAUUGUGUAUUCAGCUUUGUUCUUCAUCAGCAGUGUGCAUGAUCUGUGCUUGCAUUCUUUAGUGUGAUACCAUGUCGCAUUUCUUCAAGCUUUCCUACUGUGCUCUUCAUGUCAUGCUACUUUACAACUUUUAACUAAGUUUUUAGGGCUGUAGAUAAGAUUACGUGAAAAAGAAACAUUAUGCUUUCAAGGGCAGAUGAAUGAAACUGUGACCAUGGUCACUUAUAUGUGAAGUUUACAUGCAAAGGUCAGCGUGCAAUAUCGCAACGGAAUGCACUUGCAUUUAGCUCCUGGUGUUGCAGAGCAAGCAGCCUCAUUGCUAAGCAUGUAGCACUUUUCACUGUAAUUGGAGCCUUGCACAGAUCACAGAUGUCCUUUGACACAUUGAUACCAACCAGAAGUGUUGCUUAAUGCAAUUAUUAACUCGCAAAAGUAAUUGAAGUGCUGUUUUACUUUGGCUUCACCAAAAGUCUGCCAUUAAGUGUCAAAUGUUGACUUCUCUUUUGUUCUUUUUCUUGCUUUUCUUUUGGAAAUAGCCCUGUCGACACGAGGCUUUCCCAUUGCACCCAGCCUCCUGCGUGCCAGCAAUAGCAAUGCAGGACGUCCAUCAACGUCUUCGCGGCACUUCACUUCAACCGUUGUGGACAUGCCGAAGAAGUUCCAGUGCCGACAGUGCCACUACUCGACCAACAUUAUGACCAACCUGCGACACCACGUGCGUGUGCAUUCGGGAGAGCGACCGUUCAAGUGCUCGGACUGUGGCAAAGGCUUUAUCCAGAAGAUCCAGAUGAUCAAGCACAACUGCACCGCCCGGAUGCGUGACCUCAUCAUGCCCACAUCCACGGUGUCGCCAACGGGACUUCCACCUUCAUCGCCGGGACCACCGGCGAACUCACUCUUCAGUUGCUCCAAGUGUGGAGAGGCGUUCCUCCGCGAAGCGCUUCUUUUGCAGCAUGUGAUGCUCAUGCACAUGACACCAUGAGCCAGUUGCCACCUUGUGACAUAGUUCAGCUGGCUACGAUGUAGUUUUUGCCAAGCUGGUUUGUCACUAGGUCAGUAGAAUAGCACUGAAACUGAACAAAGAAUGUUGAUAAGAAAGGUGCCGAUUAUCAACUGGUCAGCUACAUUGUGCAAUGCAAAAAUUAUUGUGCAAGUACCUCUUUCUAAAAAAGGUGCUUGCCUCUUUAUAGACGUUGUGCUUCACAAAAUAGAUGUCUGACCUUUACAGCGAUACAGGCAUUUUCAAGCUGCAUUCACAGCAUUGUUAGGGAUGCAAUGCCUUCCCAGAAAAGAAAAGAAAAAAAGAAACUCCAUGAAGUAAUUAACUGUCUCAUCCAGUAGCCUAUUUAGGAGAUUUAGUGUGAAUUGUAGUAGGAGCUAGAAAAUGAGCUUAUCAUGUUUGUUUAUCACGAUUUAGUUCGGGCAUGACCCAACAUGGAGUAAAAGAUUAUUAGAUCUGGGAUUGAACCAACGACCUUGUUUUCAAGCUGAACUGAACACUAAACCACAUCUUUGAGCAAGCAUAUAUUCCACGAGACACACAGACCAUGACCCGACAAAAAAAAAACUCAUGAGCAUUGGUGAGUGUGAUGUGGUGCUUGAAACAUUGGCGCUUGCGCACCACGGUAUGCUUUUUUUUUUUCGCUCCAUAAGUGCCGUAAGUGUUUACAUUGUGCUGCAGGUGCGUUACCUCUAGACAUAGCCAGUAGCUGAGUGCUCAUAAUUGCUGUUUGCAGGAAUUUAAUGAAGGAAACUAAGAGUCACGGUAGUGUGGUGUAAGCUUCUUCUUUCUUUUUUCUAGUAGAAUAUGUAAAAAUGCAUAUCAUUGCUGCGAAUCCUGUGCUAUUUACAUUUUCUUAAACAUUUUCACGAAAAUUGCAGAGGAAACUUUGGCAACAAUGAUAGUUGCAUGAGGUAGUGUGUCGGAAAUGUGCUGCUGUGAUCGCUCUCGAGCCGGCCAACCUGUUGUGGUAGCUUAGCCCCUACGGCAUUGGGCUACUGAGCACAAGGUUGCAGGCUCGAUCCUGGCCAUAGCGUCCACAUACAGAUGGGAGCAGAAUGCCAAAGCACCUGUGUAUUGUGCAUUGAGUGCACAUUAAAGAAUCCCAGAUGGUCCAAACUAAUCUGUAGUCUGUCACUGACGUGCCUCAUAAUCAGAUCGUGGUUUUGGCACAUAGUACCUCAGCAUUUAAAUAAUUCAGCUCUUGAGCCAUAGUUUAGCAUGUAUCCUACAAUGUGUACAUCAGCUUGAAAUGACCAAAAGUUUGUAGCCAGCCGAACGUCGCCUGCUCAGGCCAUGUUUGUUUGAAACAUGAUUCAGGCUCAAGCUGUAUUACCUUCGUGUCAGACAGUCAGGCUGUGUGCAAACCCUCUAAUCAGAUUGACCAUAACAUGCGGAUCAUUCGUAUGUUGCUGCAGGCAGUCGUCUCCUGCAACUCCUGCUGUAAAAGAAUACUACUGCACACAUAUUUCAUGUGCUAACACUGUCCCUGCUUUGCACUUUGGGUGACACUACAAUUGUGAGUCGGCAUCUAUCUCGUCAUCAUUCUUUGUCCUCUUUUUGUGCUGUUUUGUCAUCACAUUUAGUACUCGGCUGGUAAGCAUAUGUAUUGUAGCUAUGUCACCUUCAGUGACAGUAUGCAUAUUUCAAUCAAACACAUGAUAGGCUGGCUUUUAUGACAGAUUGUUGCUUUAUUACAUAAAAGUGUACAUUGAUAAAGCUUGUUCACUUUAAGAUUGUUAGGUCUAGUGGAUCUUUGCCUCAUACUGGCCAUUCAUUCAUGUGCACGGUUUUAUAUACAGUGGCUCCAGGUAUAGUUGCACACUGACUGAGGGGAUCACUGUCUCAAUAUAUGUUCACGAUCGAUCUGCCUUGCAACAAUUGGAAGUGCAUGCCAUUGUGCAAAAAUGCAUUAUUCACGCACCUAGAAAGCUUAUUUGACGUCUUUAGCUUGUUUAGAGAUCUUUACGUGCAUAUUGCUGCCUUGUGAGGCCCUUUUUGCACUGUUAGCUAGAUGCAGCUGAACCAACAGUGCGAUUUAGAAGAGCGCUUGAUGAUCUGCAUUCAAGUCACCGUUCACAUCAUUAAGUGAGCUUUACAGUAUCAAAAUUGUUCUGUAACAGAUGCUGCCAUGCAUUUGUGAAGUUUGAUUUACUAAGGGGCUGUAUGUAGCACUUGCUGUAGAAUGUGCGAGCCAUCUACUGCACAUUUCAGUACCUGGCCAGAUUUUUAGGGCAGCAUAGGCACAGCAUCUUUGAAGACUGAAGCAAAUAUAUGAACACCCCAGGCGCAUUUCCACUGUUCCAUCGUCAUGAUGUUCCUUAUAUAUCCAAGUGCGAUAAAAUUCUGGGCGCACACAGUAUGUUGUGUGUGCGAGUGAAAGCUUGUGAGGGUGAGCCAAGGAUGGUGGCUCGAUCUUACAUGCACAAGGGAGGAAGCGCGCAGUCUUUCAUCGUGCGCAAGGCACCAGGGAGGGGGGACAUUCUACUCAGGCGGUGACUGUGUAUGGUGCAGCUGAGCCCAUCCACGCAGGCCCUCUCUUGAAAGCAAUCUGCUGUGGGUACAGAGUCUAGACAUGCUGAGGGCUGAUAGCUUUGUGUGCAUUGUGUUUUGAUCACUUACUUUGCAUUGAAGUGAGAGGCAGCACAAAGGUCAAUUCGCUCGCUGCUGCUGCCACUCUUCCUCAUGCCAGCGUUUCGACAGCGAGUGUCCGCUAUCAUCGAGGGAGAUGUAUUCAUGUUUGUCUGUGUGCACGACACCAUACUUGUUAAUUUAGUUAGUAAGCGAAUGUUUACAAGUUUAUAUGGACAAUAUAUUUACUAUCCUUGCUUCGUACAGCUGUCUAAUAAUUUGCUAUCGCAGUUGAUGCUGUGCCUUUCAGGCAAAACUUGUACUGUUGCACAAGGGGGGACGUACUUGCAAACUGACAGUUCGGCCUUCUUUGGAACGUAGCUAGCAAGGCAUGCUAAGCCUUUCUUCUGGUGUGAGAAAUAUGCCACAUUUGACUUUCAAGAAACAGAUUCUACCGCUGGUGAAGCUGUUGCUUUGAGGCUAGAUGUCUGUCUAUGUUACCGUCAUAGCUGGUAUGUGCUUUUCCCUCUGCUCAGUGGUCUGUGGCUGUUAACGUCCAUCACCAUUAUUGUGUGUGCUGUUUAUUUGCCAAUGCAAAAAACACAUACAAAAACAAGAUUUGAUGUCGUUGGGUAAAAUAUGAAGUGGAAAGUUGCCUCAGGCAUGCUACCAGUGCACCAAGUGUAAAGCAUGUAGUCCCCUUCCCCCCCCUCCCCACAUCAAAGAAAGAACAACCCUGGCAGGCACAGAUCUCUCAUGUGCAGUUCUUGUUAAAUGUCUUCAUAAUGCUCACUCGCACUAUGUGCUGCCUCCAAACAUCACACUUAGUCGGAGUUGUAAAGUGCCAGUGAUAUUUAAUGCAUUACUGUUCACGAUUAACACAUAUUACUACUUCAGAACUUAGAAAGGUACCUUCAUUGGGUUGAUUCUAACCAUACAGGGUCUUCUAUAAACUUGUGCAGCCUCAAGCAGAAAUGUGGAGCCUUUUUAUUACAGUAACCAUUCCAAUAUCUAAUCCUCUGAGGGCAGAAUCUUUUCGCAGAAGCCAUGCCAACUUGUUCAGUUCUUUUUAUUGCAAGUUCCAGUUGCAGAAAAUGAUUGAAAGCUCAUGAAUACAACAAAACUUUAUUGCUAACAAUAUUUUGUCUCAAAAAUGCCUUACUUGCUCUUAUAGUUCAUGCACAAGUACACUAUACAGUAUGAGAUAGAGAAAAAUAUAUCAAAAUGUAUAGUUAUCAAUUUGUUGACCCAGAAACACAUUUCAUCAGAAGGAGAAAUGCUUGAGCUGUUACUGUGAUAAGAUGUAAUGCACGAGGCCAUACUGAAAUCACAACUGUGUGCCCCAUUGUAUGGGAAUACGUGAACCGAAGCCAGAAGGCAAAGAAAAAGGAAACUAAUUAAUAUCCUCUGAACUUUGGCCACGCAGUGCUAUAUCUAAGCUACUGGAAGCAUGAUUGAAACAGCUGUAAAAAACAAUAGCAUCUCCUCCACAUAGACCUUAAAGGUAUAGAAAACGAUGUGUGCACGACCACUUGAGCAGCGCUCGGGGGUGAAUGAGUCCAGUUGUGUGCCCCGAUGUGUGGAAACACCAUUUCAAAUGACCUUGGGUGUCUCCAUAGAGAUGGCGCAACUUCUCACCAACCAGUGGUGUUGAAUACGCACAAAAUAUCAAACAUCAGAUCGGUGCUGUACAUGUAUGUCAAAAACCCUCAAAGCGUUAAGUGAUGGCUCAAAGGAGUGUCUGGAGAGCACUUUGGAGAUUUAUUUUCCAUCGCACCAGUACUCCUGCAGCAUUUAAAUUUCUUCAGCAUGGUCACCCCACUGCAUAAUUUAUUUCUACAAAGUUUUAGUUCUACGUAUCCAGUAGUUUGCAAACAAUUUAGUCUCUUGGCAAGCAUUCAGAACCUCGAUUAGCACAAGCUUGGUAUUUUCCUGUGGCAUUCCUGAGGCUCAUGCAACUAUGAAAGUUCUCCCGCAUGUAUUUCUCGAGAGACUUUAUUCCUACCAGGUUUUGUCUUGUUGAAUCCAUGAAGCUGCGGUGUGUAAUUAACAUAAACUUGGUGAUUUUCCACCACACAUCCAGUUGUCUCACACACACUUCUUUGGUCACACAAGACCCUUGACAUGUAUUAUACCCCCUUCAAGUUUCACUGCACCAGCUUUAAUGGUGUGAAGCAUAUUUGGAGCGAACAUUGUUCACUGCAUAACAGGCUUGCUGUAAAAAAAAAAAAGGCAUUGAUUUGCCUUUAGUGGAACGAAUUGCUUGCAUAAACCCUAGUUUUAUCUGUUUUCAAUCAGCCAAGCACUCCUAAUCUUUUGGUAUCAAUCAGAGGUAUGCAAAUGCAAAUAAAGCAAAAAGACAUGUUCGACCUAUUGAGGCUGAAGCUAUGGCCGUGGCUGUACAGCAGGCUGCGCACAAAUAAUGGAGAUUUUCUUUUAACUUGUUAUGAUCUUGAUUAUGCGUUGAAAACCAACACUUGGGCCAUGGAAGACAUUGUAGGCAAGAACCCCUGUCAUGUGCACUCCUCUUGUUCUGUGUUUAAUAUUUCUUGUGCUGUCUCCACAACGAAAGCCAACCAGCUUCCUCAAAUCACUGCACAAGUGCUCUGGAUUAGCUCGAGUGAACUGCUGUUCUUUAAUACCUGCAGAAGGAUUUUUAACCAUGCAUCUGUUACGCAUACUGUCUUUACCUUCACUUAGCUGGUAGUCAAACCCACAUUCGAAUAGCUGGCACCACAUCUUGGUUAGUGUGCAUGGGAGAGGAGUGGUUGUGCAGAAAGGCAGGCUGCAGGCUGUGAAGUUUCUCAUAGCACAGAAUGAUGAAAUGAGUUCCAGGGAAGUGUGACAGAAGAGCAUGUGUCCAUAUCUUUUGAGAUUACAUGAAGCCUUGUCAGUAGACACACUGACAGAGAGCUAUUGGCGAAACUCAGCCAGUCGUAUGCUACCGAUUUGUUGUCACACUGCGGCGAUAAGGGAUUGUACUGAAUGGAUGUUUAUUAGCUCCAGUGUCUGGAAACGCACAUUUUUAUUGUGAGUCAGUACUGUUCCACCCACCUGUGUGUUCUUUGUGUGUGUGUGUGUACUUGUGUGUAUGUGCAUUCUUUUUGCGUCUACUGUGAAACGUUAAUUCUGUAUGCUCUUGCAUUGACCAAUGCAGAUGUGAUCGCAAAUAUAGUAAGGGACUUGUAUCUUGGCUAGAAUGCACGCUGGUUUGCGCUUGCUUUGAUAGGAGGCCAGGAUUAUCCCUUCUUAAUCCCUUGUUCCUUUGCACUUCUGCGAGUCUGCUUGUGCUCUAGGCUGUAUUUGUUCCCUCACCUGCUAACCUUGGCAUCUUGACUGUUCAUGUGUGUGCUGCAUGACUUCAGCAUGUUCAUUGUUCUUGCACCAGUGGCUUCACUGCCUCUUGAUGCCUGUUCAAUCCACAAGGAAACCAUUUUCCAGCAUCAUGGAAUGUUAGUGUUGUGAUUGGACUUAGCAUUUCAGAUGUACCAUGAUAAUUGCUCUGUCACGCCUAUUUCACUCAGCCUCAAUGACUGCGUUGGCAAGUGCGGCACUGUUAUUCUUCAUAAAUCCUUGUAGAAAAAAAGGUGUUUUAGCAAUUGUGGCCUGAUGAAAUGUGGCUUCACAAGCUUUCUGGUGAUAUUUUUCAGGUUGUAAAACGCUGAUUUCAUUUUAAAAAGGGCGUCUCCAUGCUUUCUUAAAUUGAGUUUAAUAUUAAAGAGCCAUAUCAACGAUUGCCACAUUUAUUUCUGAUGCAUGCUUAAGAAUUGCAGUAUCUCAAGAGCAAUCCAGAGCACCAAUUUUUUUGCAUUGUCUUUCAUGGCCCAUCAUGUUUUUUUGCUCUAAAACUGAAUGAAACGUUCCAGACUCUACACUGAAAACAGGCCUACUACUGUCUUGGGUAGGGUGACAAAAUGCGCUCCUGUGGGCCUGUAUAAAGCUGCCAUGAAGCAUAAAAGUGUCUUUCUCACGUUCGAUCAAAAUGCACCACUGGUGUCGUGAGACAAAAGUCGCAUUAAUGGGCCAAAUAUAGGCCUGUUAGUAAAUUGUAUGGCAUGCUUUUCCAAUGUUUAGAAGAUCAAAGUGUUUCCCAUUGUUUUGGUAUGCUCUAGAAAUAAGGCCUGCCUUUGUUUUAGAAAGAGUUGGACUCAUGCAGUUGAGAAAAUUAAAGGAUUGAGAUAGGAGGACCAUUUUAAUGGACAAAAGAUUUUUAUGUGAGGGCCUGGCAGGAGUCAGGUAAAUUAAAAAUUCAUGUCAUGCACAUGUAAUAUUUGUUUUGGCUGUUGUGUGUAGUGCCUGUUCAUUGUGUCAAAGGUACUCAAUGUUGCUAGAGGGAAUGGCACAAUUCAGCAACAUCAGUUGAAUUGAUCAGUUUUCAGUGGCAGGCAACAGCUACGUUAGAAAUGUGAGCUUGGACUUUGUCAGAGAUAGCAUGUUAGUUGUACAUUUGUGGAACAUGCUUUUCAUGUUUGUCAUUUGGCUAUAAAUGCUGGAGAAAAGUUAACUUCAUGCAGGCCUGAUUGUUCACCAUGUGGCUUCACCAUCGUAGGGUAUGUUUAGCCACCACGUCUGGAAAGGAAAGCCUGGAGGCAAGUCGUGCAAUAAAUGCAACGUACGAGGGAUCUAAGCUGAACUAGUUGGUUUAGUUUCUAUAUGGUGAACAACACAGAUGACGGCACAAGUGAUAUAGACGGAACAGUUGCGCUGAUUAUCAUAUGAUUUUUGCUCGGAGUUGUGCAGUAUAUAAGGCAUAUUGCACGGAAGCAGAAGGAUAUUCAUGAAACCUUAUUCUAGCAAUUUAUAGAUAGCUUUAUGCUUUUGUGUGAUCUGCCUUACGCAUUGUACAACUCCGAAUAAAAAUCAUUUGAUAGUCAGCACAUCCGUCCUGUUCAUACUUGUCCUGUCAUCUGUAUUGUUUGCCAUGUUAAAUGUGACAUGGCUGCAGGAUCAGUAAAGACAACACCUAAGUCCAUUGUAAGGUUUUGACAGUUGAUGACGAGUGUUAAAACAUGAGUAGAUUUUGUUUGUUUUGGCAGACUUCAUGCUAUGCUUCUUUCUUGGCUGAUUAUUAUCAUUUUUGACAAAAAUGAGAAGGUGGGUUGCUGACCCUGUCAUGAACAGAAUAAGGCAACAAGCUUUAUCUGCAAACUUGUCUGCAACCUGCGCCCCCCCCCCCCCCCCCCUACCGAGAGUCCUACAGCACUGUCAUAAAGGUGUAAAUAUUUGAAAUAUUUGAUUGACCUUGACUUGUAUUUCACAAAAGUUCAUUCUUUUGCGUGCUAUCUAGCCAGUUACGUAAGCUCACAGUGUAGUUAACUGCAUACACAAAAUGUGAAUUUUUGUCAUUCUUGAGCUGUUUUAAAGUGAGAACUGCUAAAGAAAUGUCUGUGGCUAUGUUAUGCAGUGAAACUUUUGUCGUCAUGGUUAAGCUUUAUUAUCGCGAUAGCGUUAAGGAGGCCAUGUCGCAGAAAAUCCGGCUACCCGCAUCUGGCAAAAAAGAUUUUUGAACCACAUACACCCAGGCCUUCCAUAUGAUGCAAGAAAUUGACUGAAGUAAUUGAAAUUUUCAAGCUAAAAUACUUAGAAAAAUCAUAAGCUACAACUUGCACACAACCUACAGACAUGAUAGCUCUUGGAUUGCAAUUUGACUAUACGAGAAAACAUAAUUCUGUUACGCGAAAACUCAAAGAAACCCCUUCACACACACAAACCGGCUGCGGCGUCCGGCAUUUUUCACGCGCCAUCGGAAUGGGUGUCUUGGGGGCCACAUAGCGGUGCACCCAGUUUCUUGCAUUAACUCCAGCUGGCAUUCGCCUGCGCCACAUGGCGGCCCAUGCAAGAGGCCGUGGUUCCACCGCAAAGCUCGCCUUAGUGCAUAGCGUUCGCGGCAAGCAUUUCCAGGCAAACAUUACGGUCACAUACGCUCCAGUUGCCGGGAAGCGUGAGAAGUAGUCGGGGAUCUUUGAAUGCUAUUGUGUUCCACUCUUAAAGGCAAAGCUUUAAGCGUCCUCCUAAUUUUUUUCCGUGUAAUAACCAUAAGUAGUUUAUUUUACAAAUCUUUAGAGCCUUACAAAAAGCAUUCAGAGAAUGGACUACAGUUCUUUUAUGCAGAGUUUUUUUACCAAGAGCUCAAGCAGUACGCAAAAAUCUUUUCCAGCCUUGCCAGUAUUAGUGAAUAAAACCAAAUAGACGCUUCCCUUUUAGAAAUGAACUGCUCAUUCUCUUGCACUGUAAAAUACAUCUUUGUUUCUUUUAGACAAGUUUAUGUGCAUGUGUCAAGUUAGUGCAGUGCUUGAGUUCUUUAGAAUGAGUGCUGUCAUUUACAUUCAGCGUCUGAUACUCCGCGUUGUUUUAUUCAUUGUAAACGUAUCUGGUCUCUCUUUGACCAUGACUGCAGUUGUUUUGGCAGAUACGGUCAUUAUUGCCUCCAGUUACAUAUAGGUAAAAAAAUAAGCCUUCCUUGUGCAUCUGCAGCAGUUGGCACUUCUGGCUGGAUGCUGAUGUUUGCUCCUUACAAGUUAAAGCUGUGUGUACCAGCAUAAAUUAAUAUGCAAAUGAAGAAGUGAAAUCAUAGACAACAGUCACACAUAAUGGCUUAAUAUUGCAAUGUAGCAUUAGUAAUAUUGAAUUGCCUGAAGGACCGUAACGCUGCGUUUAAGAAUGCAGAAAUGAAAAGACAUGUUUCAGUUUAGUUUGACUCGCUCGUGUUUCAGUUUGUGCUCUCAGAACAUCUGUUUCUAAAACUACUUACAUCAGUCUCUCUCAGAGGUAUGCACUCUUUUGUUUCGUUAAUGUACAAACAGUUUUUUUAAAAUUAAUGAUCAAUGACUGUGUCAUUAAUUAUGUACUUUUGUCAUACCUAGGCAUAUAUUGAUUGCUGAGAACAAGUUAAACCAAGGUUCACAGUCUACAAGACCUUCUUUGUUUUCCUCUCAACAUAUUAGAAAAACAUCUCAAUACAUUCAUGACUGUGCAAAAGUCUGUGUGUUUACAUGAUACAGUUUGUUGUCUCAAGGUGCAGUUAUUUUGUGUGCACUAACGCAGUGUUGUGUUUUCAUUAGCAUCCCCUUCUUUUUUUGUGUAUGUCCUUCUUGUUCCCCAUGUCAAAGACUAUAUACUCAGGUUGAUUCUAUUUAUGAUGAAAUUUCUCCCAUAACAUCACAUGUUGGCAGUAUGUGCUCGGGCUUUGUUUUGUUGGUAGCAUUAAAGCUCACACCUAGAUAAGUUGUACUGAUCUGGUACUGUGUGUACAAGGACUUCCAGCCUAGCCAGACUGUUUUAGCAGGCGUUACACCAGCUUGCUGUCAUUUUGUUAGUCUUCUGCUGUUCAUCUGUGUGUCCUGUUCAAGCGCUUCGUGAUUUGAUUUGGGAGAAAACGCAGAGGCGUACUGGAGAUGUAUAGCUGCUGAUAGGCCACUGCACAUUAGCCCUUGGCCUGGACUCAUUGUGUCAUUGUUGAGUUCUGUGCGGUUGGAAGCAUGUUCUGUCAUGUCAGCAGUGGGAGCUAAGAGCUUCCUUUAAGACUAUGCAGACUACUGUAGAAUGGCACUUAUAUUCUGCCAAUAAAGGCUAUACUUUUGGCAUUUCAUACCUCCUCA